CCGCCGGUCUGGCGGAAGGCGCCUGCGAACUCGCCGUCGUACGCAGGCCGUUGGAGGAGGACCGGCGGUUCGACUCCGCCAUCGUCGGGC
rnacentral:tRNA from 1 species